CUGAGAACUUACAGUUUGGAGUUACCCAGAUCGCUAUUCUUUCACCAGCUAUUAAAAUGGUCUGACUAGAACAGCUCUAAGAAAACUAAGUGAUCCUUUGCCUUGCAAAGGUUCUAUAGAAAUAUUUUGUCAUGGAAGAUCCUAUGUCACCCAGUGGUUUUAGAAAUAAAUAGGAGUUGCCUACUUUUAUGGCCACCAUGAGCGAACGUAAAUGUACCUGGACGAUCACAGAAAGCAUGUGAAGGCUGUGCCUGAAAGGUGCAUCUCCCCCUAGACUCCCACCAAAGACCAGAUGGAGUCUGUGGCCAUGUUAUUGGAACAGGAAGCACCAGGUGAUUGUACCUAUGCAGGUGCACCUGGACUUCCAGUCCAAAGGAAUCAGCAAAGCAUCCUGGGGUCUUCAACAUCUUCCUGAGACCUGGCAAGUGGCUGCUGAAGAAUAUCAUUUGCCAGUUAUUCCAGAGUGGCAGUAAAAGUGGCACCGAAGGGGGAAAGCCCAGUGUUCCAAUUAACUUUUAUUUUUGAAACUCAAUAGCCUUUGUUUAAAAUAUCUCUCUGGUACCCGUCUAGGUUAUGAAACAGUCAGCUGCAGGAUUAAUCAAUGGCACCAAACAGACAUUAGCAACUCACUAAUUGAGACAUAACUAUUUGAUUCAGGCAGUUACUAUUUAUUUUGGCACUUUUUUGCAAGAGAAAUGGUGGCCGUCGUGCAUGGUUUUGUUAUUAGCAAAGAAAAAGACCCUGUUAGAAAAAAAUAAAUCCUACAUUUGUGGAAAACAACGAAAGAGUGGCCCCACCACCUUUUCUGCGUUAUACUCAGGUGGCGGAAAAUAAACACAGCACCCUGGAAGUUUCGGCUUCGGGGUAUCAAAAAAGAAAGCAAAACCCUGCCUUAAGAUCACUGUUUAUUUUCUUUUGUCCCUUUCACUCUGACCCCUCCUUCUUCUCACGGAAGGGGAGAUUCAGCUCCCUGGAGCCCCCCCUCGAAUAUCGUCAAGCUGCUGUUCCUCAGAAAUAAAGAAUUUUGACACGGAGACACUCCACAUCUUGGCUGCCAGGAGAAAUACCAUCUUCGAGGUCAUUCCAUGUAUUGAGACAUUUGUUAUUAUUGUUUUGUCAGUGUAUUUUCUGGUGCAGUCCCAGCGGAAGAUGUGGGGCCCAUAUCACGCAAGACUAACGUGGGAUCAUCUGUUAAUUCUUCUCCGCGUCUUUGCUGUAUUCCGGAGCCCCAACCCACCUCCCUCACCUUGUAAAAAUGGGCAGAGCACACAGGAAGAAGUAGAAAGAGACAGGAAGUGUGGCUGAGAAAAGUAGGUUGGGUCAGACUGUAAAGAGCUUUGAAUACGGUGCUAAGUGCUUUCAUCUGUGAUUCAGGGGAGUCACAGUUAGUAGAAGACUUGAAGUCCAGUCUCUUGAUUCAUAGUCAUGGUUUUCUCUGCUAGAUUACACUCGCCCCUCCAAACUCAAAUGAACACCAUGCUGGAUUUGACCAGAGAUUGUUUAAUGGAAAUAUGUAAACUACCUCUUAAAAGUAAUCAGUAAAUUCUCUUAUUAUUAUCUCCAUCUUAUAGAUGAGGAAACUGAAGCAUAAAGAGUUAAGUAACUUGUCCAAGGUCAUACAACUAGUUAGGUGAUUGCAGGCAAUCUGGCUUCACAGUCUUUAGUCUUAACUACAACACGUACCUCUUUUGAUCUGCAGAUCUUUAUGCAUUUGUGUGUUCUACUGAUGUUAGCAUUGGCAAGUAAGGGCUCCCUUCCAGAAUAGAAUUGAUAUCUGGCCAAGUUUGAGACUGAAAGGAUGAAUGUCUAUAACACAGGUUGGGAUCAGGGAAUGAAAGAUACCCCCUAGUCAUGUCUCCAAAUAUCUUUUUCUUUACCCUUUCCUGACUAUUUGAAGAAACCAGGCAUCUGGGACUGGGCAGCCUCAUCCUGUGAAAAGACAGAGAAAUACUAGAAGGAUCUUAAAAGGAUAUUAACAGAUUUGAUGAGACCUCUGAAAUACUACAAAUACUGCAAUUGUGUUUACUGCCCAAGACUUUGAAAGUUAAGGCCUGAAAAUCUG
rnacentral:lncRNA from 1 species